AUUUAUAUAAUUCAAAAAGAAUAUUGCAUUGAAGCUGCAAAAGUAGAUGAAAAGAUCUUGUAAGUA
rnacentral:tRNA from 1 species